rnacentral:rRNA from 1 species
AGUGAACGCUGGCGGUAGGCCUAACACAUGCAAGUCGAACGGCAGCACAGUAAGAGCUUGCUCUUACGGGUGGCGAGUGGCGGACGGGUGAUGAAUACAUCGGAAUCUACUUUUUCGUGGGGGAUAACGUAGGGAAACUUACGCUAAUACCGCAUACGACCUACGGGUGAAAGCAGGGGAUCUUCGGACCUUGCGCGAUUGAAUGAGCCGAUGUCGGAUUAUCUAGUUGGCGGGGUAAAGGCCCACCAAGGCGACGAUCCGUAGCUGGUCUGAGAGGAUGAUCAGCCACACUGGAACUGAGACACGGUCCAGACUCCUACGGGAGGCAGCAGUGGGGAAUAUUGGACAAUGGGCGCAAGCCUGAUCCAGCCAUACCGCGUGGGUGAAGAAGGCCUUCGGGUUGUAAAGCCCUUUUGUUGGGAAAGAAAAGCAGCAGGUUAAUACCCCGCUGUUCUGACGGUACCCAAAGAAUAAGCACCGGCUAACUUCGUG